GCGGGAUUAGCUCAUAUGGUAGAGCACCGCCUUCCCAAGGCGGGUGUGGCGAGUUCGAGCCUCGUAUCCCGCU
rnacentral:tRNA from 1 species